rnacentral:rRNA from 1 species
UACGUAGGGUGCAAGCGUUGUCCGGAAUUAUUGGGCGUAAAGAGCUCGUAGGCGGUUUGUCGCGUCUGCUGUGAAAUCCCGAGGCUCAACCUCGGGUCUGCAGUGGGUACGGGCAGACUAGAGUGUGGUAGGGGAGACUGGAAUUCCUGGGUGUAGCGGUGAAAUGCGCAGAUAUCAGGAGGAACACCGGUGGCGAAGGCGGG